rnacentral:lncRNA from 1 species
GACGGUUGCAUACUUGUGACUGAGGCUAGAAGAUGAUGAGCUAUGUAUGUUGGCUUGGUUUGAGAGCGGGGAUGGAAACUCCACUAAGGUGUCUUGGAAAAAGAGAGAUGUGCCAUGAACGCCGGUUCUAGAGAACUCAUUGGUAAGAACAAGUGCUACAGUUACCAAACAAAUAAAGAGUCUUAUCGUGACAGUUGAUGGCGUGAACAUGAAGUGUGGGGUCAAACCAUAAAGGAGACGAUUAGGUGAGUCGAAGAUAGACAGAGGAUUAAGGGUGAGUGUGCAGCACCGGUUACAGCCAGGGGCGGUCCUGGAAAAAGUGGGGCUCUAAACAAAUGAAAAAAUGGGGGCCCUUCUAACAUAACUGAAAUUUUAAAAUUCGUGAGCAAGAAUUUUUUUUUUAAGCAAAACAGAAAAAAAAAACUAAUUCUCAAACAAAAAGCUAAGAAAACUGUAAAUGUGGGAAGAGAAAAGAUUUAUUUUAUGUAAGUCCCACUAAAUUCUGUUGUUCGAUUUUAUUAUUAAUACAUAUAAAUAUUUUUUUAAUGUUUCAAAAAAAACAAAAUAUUUUUUUUUUAA